CCUACGGGUGGCAGCAGUAGGGAAUCUUCGGCAAUGGACGGAAGUCUGACCGAGCAACGCCGCGUGAGUGAAGAAGGUUUUCGGAUCGUACAGCUCUGUUGUAAGAGAAGAACGAGUGUGAGAGUGGAAAGUUCACACUGUGACGGUAUCUUACCAGAAAGGGACGGCUAACUACGUGCCAGCAGCCGCGGUAAUACGUAGGUCCCGAGCGUUGUCCGGAUUUAUUGGGCGUAAAGCGAGCGCAGGCGGUUAGAUAAGUCUGAAGUUAAAGGCUGUGGCUUAACCAUAGUACGCUGUGGAAACUGUUUAACUUGAGUGCAAGUGGGGAGAGUGGAAUUCCAUGUGUAGCGGUGAAAUGCGUAGAUAUAUGGGGGAACACCGGUGGCGAAAGCGGCUCUCUGGCUUGUAACUGACGCUGAGGCUCGAAAGCGUGGGGAGCAAACAGGAUUAAAUACCCUUGGAGUC
rnacentral:rRNA from 1 species